AUUCCACAUAGAUGAAUCCCAACUAAUAAGUACAGAAAGAACAACACAAUUAGAAAAUCACCGUUCUGCAGCCCCUAAUGUGUACUGCAUCCAGGCAAUGACCAUCAAUGAAUAUUGACAGCAAGCUGCAAGGCUGGUGGGGAACCCAGCAGUGGCGGAUCAGGCUGACCCCCUAAGCUCAAUCCUCAGUCUCAGCACCAGUGAAGGAGCGGCCAGACCACACGCCUCAUCAUGCCAUGCGGUGCAACGUGCAGUGCCACCUAGGAAGCUCGCUCGCCUCACAGGAAAAAUAAAUCUGAGUGGAAUCGCACCUCAGACCUACCAGGGCAAAUAUGGGGUUGCAGGUGGGCUCUGCACCAUGCCAGAGGAGGCAGCCAGCCAAAUCCAGAACGCAGGCAUUCCACACAGCCGCUACCCCCAAGAGGCAGACAACCCAGGGCUACAGGUAGGCCUUCGACAUGAAACCGCCCGCAGGAGAAUUUCCACAGGCACGUAGCCAUGCCCUAUAACCUGAAGCUAGGGCGCCGUGGCCUGUUCUCACAGCGCCAUCCCUAGGCUCCAAGAGCCAGCAUCCUGGGAGCUCUGCAGCGCUGUGCUGCUGCCUGUGGCUUGCACACAGAUGUCACAUAACAUCAUUUCCGCUGGAGGCACAUGCCUGCCCAGAUUAAAGGGAGGGUCACGAUCCCCUCCCUGGCGGGAGGUGCAUCAAAGUCACAGCACAAGAGCAUGUGGAACGGGAGAUACAGACCACAGUGAAACGUUAUUUACAUUCACUGCAUUGGCAAACAUUCAGAAUGUUGGUGGACUGUAGAUCAUCCGUGGCGCUAACACGCUGCUGGGGGAUGGGAAUUGGUACCCGCGCUUUGAAACAAAAACUGACAUGGUCCUGAAAGUUCCUGAAAGUUCACCUUUCACAGACUUUAUGAUGCAGCAAUUCCACUUCCUUAAACCAAAAACACCUCAUGUGUGCACCAAAAGAAACACACAGGAAUGUCCACGGAAGCAUCACUCACAAUGGCAAGCGAGCCGCAUGACCCUGCUGGAAAAACAAAUAAAUGAUGCCUAUUCACACACUGGAACACUAUGCAGCCAGGCACACAAACUGCAGCUCUGCCCAGAAACACAUACCAACCUAAGACACCUUGUGUGUGACUAAACAGAACAGGUUUGGGAAGUCUAUGUAGGGACUGAUGUCACUUUCUAAGAGUUCAGAAACAAGCAAUCAUGUGUAAUAAAAUAAAAUUAUUUUAAAGAGAAGAGAUGAGAAAACAAAAUGCAGGAUCACGGUAAAGAAGAGGAAGCACCCACGGCAGCAUGGGUCAUCUCGCUUAGCCUGGUCCUGGGGUCACGGCUGUUCAUGAGAAAGCUAUGCUCCGCAGCUCACGUUACGUACGUGUCAUAUGCUAAUUCUCAUGUCACAACAUUUUAACGAAUAUACUGGGAAGUGCAGCCAAGUACUGCAAGCAGAGGAGCCGGCACACGUGAUCCCAGACCAGGCAGCACUUACAAAGGAUGGCAGGAAGGCCAAGACGUUGUCACGGAGAUGAGGCCCAGCAGGGCAGGAAGGCAUGACCAGCAGGCCUGGCUACAGGCAGCAAGCACCAAACCCCAUUCCAGAUGCCAGGAAAGGCACACACAGGCCUGGCGCAGGUGGGCUGUCUUCUGGCCGCUCCCUGGGUGGACUGGUCUUGGAGACUGGACGGAGUGCUCAAUGUCAGGAGGAAGCCACGACUCACUCACUGGAGAACACGAGAGACAGCCGGCGCCGCCCCGAGGAGUGAGCGGAGGAUCUGCCUGGAGCUAGCCAGCCUCAUGGCCUGGACAGACACCUCAGUGAGCCUGUGAUCAGGGCCCUCGGAGCAGAGCCAGCUGCAGGGAGGCAAGUCAGGAGGCCUUUCCUUGAGGCCAGGAGAGAAGAACAAGCCAGCAGGAGGGCAGGACAGACUCCAGAGACACUCGUUGAGAAAACUGGCUUCAGCUCCAGAGUGGGGGGCAGAGGGGCUGCUCCGCCUGGGCAGCGUGGGGACUGCUGCCGGCCGGGAAGCUGCCAAGAGCCCGGGAGAGGAGGGCAGAGGGCACAGCACUCCUUCUUCAUAGACAGCAGGGACAAAGGUGGAGGGUGACUACGUCACUCUCGAUUCCCCGCCUUUCUGGGAAGGCCUCAUCAUGAAACAUUUUCGGCAUCAUAAUACUGGCUUAUAAAUGUUCGUAUACCCAAUUCCCAAACCAUUGAUUAAUUUAUUAAAGCUAUGAUUUACGUAAGGAUGAGCAUUUAAUUAGAGAAGAGCUUCUACCAUUUCACCAACCCAGGCAGUGGGGAAGGGGUGGAAAGGGGCGGCUGCUGUCCCAGGGGCAGUCCUUGGUGUCCUCCUGGUCCAGGCUUUCUUCCCUCCCUUCACUGGCCUCCAGAGCCAGGUGCUGCGCUGCCUGCACUAGAAGCCCUGCCCUAGGCUGUGCUGAGCAUGCGCACACACCCCCCACAGCAGGGCUCCCGCGUCAGUGGCCUCACUCCACCCUGCUCUCCCAGCGAGCCUGCUGUCCAUAGUCUGGCAGGUCUCCUCUUCACGUUCAGUGACACAACUGCUCGGCGCAUUAUAGAGGCCUCUGAAAGGCUAUGUGUUCACGAUCCUCCCAUGGAGGGGCUCAGAGGAGCGGCCUAAGAGGAGAUGCCUGCACUGUGCAGGAAAGAGGGGCUCCCUGCAGAGCCAGUGCCGUUGGUGGGGCUCAGGCUCCCAGGGUAGGGGCAGGAGUGGUCUCCACAGUGCACAUUUGCACGUAUGUUAGGACGAGGCUAUGGGGCACAGAGGGGCCAUUUGCCCUGCCUGGAGACUGGUCUAGGGUUGCAGGGCCCACAUGUACUGCAUGCCCCCAAAAGGGUCAGGGGAAGGCUUCCUCCAUCCCCUUGGGGCCACAGCCUCCUACUUGCCUAGGGAAACAUGGCUCUUGGAGGCCCAGGGAGGCCACUACCCUGCUGAGCAGGCAGGCCCCAAACUAAGGUGGAGACCACAGCGAUCGCAGCAGGGCAGCAGAAGCUGGUCUCAGGCUGGUGGGUGAAAGCUGAGGUUACUGGCAGUUGCCAUGGCAUGGUGAGAUUGCCAGGAUGAGGGCCCACUUGAAGAACAUGCCUGCACUGCCCUAGAGCUGCAUCUUCCUGGCAGCAGAAUGUCAGGGGAACCAGGCCUCCCCGCUUCAAGUGGGACAAAUGUAUGAGCCUGGGGGGCAGGUGGGGAGGGCCCUGCAGGGUGCCUGGGCAGCCUGUGGAGGAACAGCGGGGAUUCCCUUCGCACCGGGUGUAGCCAGCUGCACGGCAUUAACAGCCACUUGUCCUUCAGAACUUUGCUCUUCAGGUGGGGUCUGGGGUGAGGAAACCCAGUAACCCAGGAUUUGCACAAGGAAAGUAGCUUCCUGUGGCUUGGCUUCUUACGAGUGUCUAAAAGAACCGUCCUGGUACCGCUAGGCCACAAAAUGUUCAGAAAACACUGCAAGAGACACUGGGACACUCUAAAGCCAGGCCCAGAGAAGGAAUGCCGAGGAGAGAGAGGAGGAAUGCCAAAGAGAGGCCCAGCGGGAAGGGGUUCUGCCCAGCACCCUCUGCCUGGUCCCGGGCUCCCUGUGCAGGGAGCUAUGCCAGUGUGCUGAGGGUGUUCGAUGAGGACAGCAGCUCACAAUUGCAGAAGCCACGGACUCCUGGAGAAAUGGACCACGCACCUUCUCCCCAGCAAAGUGUCCUCUCUCCAAAGAGCUUUGAAUCUCAGAGAAUCUGAAGGCCCCCACCACGUGGGGCCCAUCCAGAGCCCUGGCCCAGAGCAGCAGAGGACAGGCUUAUACCCCUGCUCUGGAGUUGUGAAACCGUGGCACCCUGGAGUUGUGAAAUGCCAUCUCAAACUCGGCCAAUGGCCCUUCCAUCCCUGUCCCAGCUCCUACACUAGCUCUUUCCAUUAUAAGGAGGCCGGGAAGUAAUCCAGCUUCACCUGGUAAGUUCGACCUGUGAAAUGUGGGAAGACACAAGUCAGACACAACACCUUCUGUCCACACCGCUGGCACAAGGCUUCCAGUUGGGCAGAGCUGCUAGGGGGCACGGGGACAGAGGUGGAGCUCCUCCAUCCAGCCCCCAAAGGAGCCUGGGCAUGACCGUGGGUACUCAGAGCAGGCUGCCUCCUGAGGGACCAGAAGUCAAGCGUGCGACGGGCUGCGGGGCGGAGAGGCCACUCUGCCUCCAGGGACACACACUCUCCCAGGCCCACUUCCCUGUGGCCAAGGAGGAAAGCCGAGCAGGCACCUUUGAGUUGCACACAACGGACACACAGCACAGAGCCCACCCAGCCUGAGUAUUUACCAUCCGCCUUUCAUGGAAAUGCCGGCACCUGCUCCAGAGGAUACAGGAAUGACAGGGAUGGAGGACGGGAGGGACUCCCAGCCUGCGGGGAGGCUCCUGCAUGUGCCCAGCAGACUUUCAGCAGGGCUGGGCUGCAGGAGUGCCCAGCAUUUCCCAUUUCAGCUCCACUGGAAAGUGCGGCUGGUUCAAGUUGUUGCGAACUGAUCCCACCCAUGUAUACUGGGGUGGGAGGGCAGUGGGCAGCUUCUCGGCUCAGGUUUCCAGAGCACGAGGGGGCAGAUCCAGAGCGAGAGUAACUCACCGUAUUAAGAGUCUGGGCAUUAAGCCUGGUGCCAUGAAGGGACCAGACUUUGGGGCCAUCUUCCUUGGGUAGGGUUUAUUUUGCAUGGGGAAAGCUGGGAAGCAAAUAUUUGUGACCAGAAGGGCAAAUGAUGGUGACUGAAUUACUGCUCAUGCAUAUUCACUGCCUGUCCCUGGGAGAGGCCUACACUUCCCACCCCCUGAAGUCUUGGCCAGUUGGCGUCUCUUGUGGGAAGAAUAACUCCCGUCCUGCGGGUGGUUGUCUGUGCUCUCACUGCUCUGCUCCAACACCAACGACACUCCAGAUGGGGACUGCACUAGUUGCUUGGGAAGGGGUUGAAGACAAGAGCCACAGCUGACACAGGUGAACAGGAAAUAAACUUGUCUAUGUAUCAGCC
ensembl:lncRNA PCBP3-AS1 PCBP3 antisense RNA 1